UUGUUCCUCGCCAUACCCCCCUUCUCCCUCGUUCCUACUUGAUCUCCUUUCUCAUUUUGUUGGAUGUCUAGCAUGUAGGUCAAGUAGGAGUCGAUGAAGGGAGGAGUAUGUCGAUGCCAAUCCUUGAGGGUUGAAGGGGGUGGCGGUGGACCAGAGGAGUGUGGUGAGCAAAUCGUACAUGGAGACACUAACUUGACUCAAUAGUGGCUCUGAUACCUCAUCCUUCCUUUUUUUCUCUUGGAGUUGCAGCGAUGCCACCGUCGGCUUCGUGCGACCCCAUGUGUCUGCAUAAAAUCAUGAAGGAGAGGCGCGUGAGCGGUCAUCCAAGAGACACAUGGUCCGCCCUUACUCAAAGAGCCACCGUGAUGGAGCCAUGCAAAGAGGUAUGCAGUCUUAUCCUCUUCAUCCCCUCCUUGUACAAUGUUGUACACCCAUGUUUAAUUAAGAAAUCGGUACACACAACAAAUGAAUUGCACAUCGACGACUAGAUAGCUGGCCGGUGUAGCAGACGAACUUCCACAUCUCACUAGCAGGGUAGAUGAUGUAGGAGGCUAGCAGCAACAACUAUAUAUCCACGAGUAGGUAGCAGAAUUUCGUGAUGUAACUUGGCAUAUAGCUCCCGUAAGUUAACCACCCUCACAGCCAAGUUGACUAACAUGUACCAUAAUUUUCCUAUCAUGACUAACGAGUAAUCUAUUAUCAUUAGAAGUUCAACCUACAAUAGUUUUUGGUGUGUACGCAACUUAGUUUCAAUGUAGACAAGUUAGGAACCAUGUUAUGUAACUUCUACAAUAUUGUAGGCAAUUGAGCAUCACUAGGGUAGGCGACCCCAUAGUGAUGUGGAGGCCUUUGUUUUUUGAGGUGGUUAACUUUCACAUUAGCAUGAAGAACUAAUGGUCAAUGGUAUGCAGUUUAGCAUCACUACAAGGUGGCUACACUAUAGUACUAAAGCUAGUUGUUGUGCUACCAAAGUUGCACCAAGUAGCAGCAAAGUUAAUUUUAAAAAAAUUGUUGAAACAUACCCAAACGAGUUCUAUCUCUCCGAAAGGUGGAUCAUGCAGCACCAAAUUUGCAUCAUAUAGCACCAAAGUUAAUUUUCAAUUAUUAUUUUUGAAACAUACCAAAAUGUGGUAUGGCUUUUGGAAAGUUGGUUGUUGUAGCACCAAAGUUGGUAUUCAAACAUUUGUUGGAACAUGCCCAAAUGGGGUCUAGCUUUGAGAAAGUUGGUUAAUGUAGCAUCAAAGUUGCAUCAUGUACAACCAAAGAUGGUGUUGGAAAAGUUUGUCAAAACAAACCCAAACAGGGUGCAUCUUUCAAAAGGUUAGUUGAUGUAGAACCAAAUUCGGGUCAUGUAGUACCAAAAUUGGUUUUAAAAAGUGUGUUGGAAGAUACCCAAAUGGGGUCCAGAUUUUGGAAAAUGUGUUGAUGUAGCACCAAAGUUACAUCAGGUAGAACCAAAGUUGGGUUUUAAAAUGUUUGUCGAAACAUACCCAAAUGAGGUUGAUCUUUCAAGAAGUUGGUCAAUAUAGCACCAAAGUUGGUUUCGAAAAGUGGAAAACUUUUUCAAAACCAACUUUGGUGCUACAUAAACCAACUACCUGAAAGCUGGACCGCAUUUGGAUAUGUAGCACCAAAAUUGCAUCAUGUAGCACCAAAGUUGGUUUUGAAAGUUCACUUUUUCAAAACCAACUUUGGUGCUACAUGAUGCAACUUUUAAAAACCAACUUUGGUGUUACAUGAUGGUACUUCGGUGCUACAUCAACCAACUUUUUGAAAGUUGUACCACAUUUGGGUAUGUUUCGGUAAACUUUUUCAAAACCAACUUUGGUGCUAAAUGGUGUAACUUUGGCGCUACAUUAACCAACUUUCUGAAAACUGGACCCCAUUCAGGUAUUUCUCGAUAAAAAAUUUCAAACCCAACUUUGGUUCUACAUGGACCAACUUUGGUGCUAAAUCAAGCAAUCUUCCGAAAGCUCAACCACAAUUUUGUUUCGACAAACAUUUUCAAAAUAAACUUUGGUGUUACAUCAAUCAACUUUUCGAAAACUAGACCCAUUUUGGGUAUGUUUCUGUAAACUUUUCGGAAACCAACUUUGGUGCUAUGUAAACCAACUUUCGCAAAGCUAGACCCUGUUCGGGUAUGUUUUGGUAUGCUAUUGGAGUAAUAGAUGAACAUGUCACUAAAUGGGUUUGCGCUAACUAAUGGAAAGAUGUUAUUGAAGUUUGUGGGAUCGUAACUUUCUUCAUUAAACAGCAUAAUUUGGGAACUUCCGGGGACGCUCGAUUACCUAUUAUGUAUACAUAUUAAGUGUUUGGUCCGCGGUCGCAUACUGAACCAAUUGGUAAUUCUUGAGAGAACAAUUAUAAGUUACCUGGUUACCAUAAUCUACAUAUUCUCACAUAUAUCUAUUGAACACUAAAUGUGCGUAAGAGGCGAUAUUAUAAUAGAAAUUACCCAAAAUCAGAAAUACUAAAACAUCAAUCUAAUGUACACCCUUUUAUUAACAUAGAUGAGUAGAUUUUGCAGAAUGUCACAACCACCUGGAAGCCAACAUGAUGAGCUCACAAACCUAAUAAAGGACAUACUUAAAAAACAAGACAAAAGUUAAACAAUGGAUACUUACCUCCUAGCACCUGACCAACCGUUGAGCGUGUGGGGAAUCUGGUGGAAAUUAAAAUGAUGGAUGACUCACCUAGAAGUAGGAUUUUUCUCAUGAGAGAAAAUGCUUAAACCCCGUGGUGCAAAUACUAUUACAAUUAUUGAUGCCAAUAAAGAAAUCAGGAAUAACUAGUUGUUUAAUUUUCCUAUGUUUCAGCAUAACCAUGUUAGAUGACAUGCCGGCAUGUGAGUGAGAGCGCAUAAUGAUUGGGGUGAGGAGUGUAGUGCAAUUGGUAGAGAGUUAUAAAAAAAUGGGUAAAACCAAAUAAAUAUCAUCCUGAAAAACUUCUAGUCAAACUUCCCAAAUUGUAGUUGUUCAUAUGUAAAUAUAUUGCUAGAAUUUUCCAAAAUAAAGUAAUGUAGAUGAAUUUGUUUUUAAAACUAUUUUCUGGCCUUCAUUUAUGUAUUUUCGGCAACAAUCUCACAUACUGCUCAUAUAUUUCUGAAAGUUUAUCAAUCCAUAUAUUUUCCUCAUGUUUCAAGUAUCUUUCAUAUUUUUGACAUAAAUUAUGAUAUUUUUAAUUGAUUACGUCAAAUAGUAUAGUAAAUUAAAAUAAUUAAUAUGAAUUCUAGAUUAGACCUUUGCACCUUUCACUAAUUUCCCUGACUACCAAUGUUAUCAUCGUUAUUAAAAACCUAACAAACAUUAUAACUAAACUACAGGAUACAGAUUAAUCCCAUGGUUCCCUUCCUCCUGUCACCUGAUCUAAAUAUGGUUAGAAAUGUUUCCCUACACGCAUGCACCAUGUGCUAUGACCAUACGACCCUAUUAUUUUGUACUCUCUUCAUUUUUAAAUAUAAGUCUUUUUAAAGGUUUCACUACGAAAACUAUAUACAGAUGUAUAUAGACACAUUUUAGAGUAUAGAUUCACUCAUUUUGUUCUUCUAAUGAAAUCUUUAAAAAGACUUAUAUUUAUAAAAGAAAAGAGUAGAAUACACAUGAAACUGUAAAUAUGUUUGUCUGUCAUUUUAAUCUAAAGAUGAUACCCUCACAGUUGCGAUCGAUGGCCACCAUGCUAUUUGUAUUGAGCAUCAAAAACACAUCUAGGAGGAGAGAUUACAACAUCGGCAACUGCUUCAACAAAUAAUGGACGAAUUCUUUUACAACUGAUUUUAGAAGACUGCCGUAAUCUGUUCUUCACAUUACCAUCGGGUGUUUUUCUCUCUCCACUGACUGUAACAUUAAGUUUUUUCGAGAAAACAAAAUCCGAUGAAUCUACAACAUAUGAGUAUGCUAAUUCGGUCCUCCUAUCCUUUCUCCAUUUUUAUCCAUGGUGUAGAUAGAUAGAUAGAUGACUCCCCCGAUUAGCACUUUUUUAGCAGUAAUAACCAAGAGUGCGGAUGUGUUGAGAGGCCCCGCGGCAACGGCCACCUACAUCGUUAUCCUAGGACGUCACAUAAUCUUCAACUAAUAAUGACUGAAUUCACCUAAAACUGAUCUUAGAAAAAGACCAAACUGUGGUUUACACCUGUUCUUCACAUUACCCUCGGGUGUUCUUCAAUAUCUCAUCAAGGUAAAAACAUUUCGAAUAAAGACAAUGCGAUGAGUCUACAACAUCGGAUCAUGCUAAUUCGGUCCUCCUAUCCUUUCUCCAUUUUUGUCCAGUAUCUAGAUGGAUGGAUGAGUCGCCCGAUUAGCACUUAUUUAGCCUAGAGGAUUAAUUGCUCAACAUCACACACAACAACAACAACAGGCGAGAUCGAUGGACCGACCGAACGAACGAGUGACCUCUACUUGCCCUCGGCUCCGGCCACCACCGGUGAAGUGGGCGCCGCAGGAUCCUUGUCAUCUUCCUGAACCGCCUUCCCCUUCUCCUCACCGGGGCCACCGACGGCGCGCAGGGUGCGGCCGAGCGCGUCAAGGCGAUCGCCGGCGGCCCGGGGUUCGGCUGGCCCGAGGCGAGCGGCGGCCGUGUGGACGAGGUCCUCCGCGCGGUCGCAGCACUCGUGGAAGGCGUCGAGGCGGCGCUUGAGGUCCUCCAGCGCCGCGGCGCGGCCGGGCUCGCGGACGGCGACCGCCGCGGCGUCCACCAGCGCGUCGUAGGCCGCUGCCAUUGCGUCCACGGUGCCGUCCAUCGUGAUGCCGCCGGCGGUUACCGAUUGAUCGAGUGGUGUUGUCUUGUCUUGUGUUGAGUUGGAGUGAUCGACUGGCUAGCGCUCCCCUUAUAUAUACACACAUACCCGUCAUGCUUUAAUU
rnacentral:lncRNA from 1 species